rnacentral:rRNA from 1 species
AUUGAACGCUGGCGGCAUGCUUUACACAUGCAAGUCGAACGGUAACAGGCCGCAAGGUGCUGACGAGUGGCGAACGGGUGAGUAAUGCAUCGGAACGUGCCCAGUCGUGGGGGAUAACUGCUCGAAAGAGCAGCUAAUACCGCAUACGAUCUAUGGAUGAAAGCGGGGACCGUAAGGCCUCGCGCGAUUGGAGCGGCCGAUGUCAGAUUAGGUAGUUGGUGGGGUAAAGGCUCACCAAGCCAACGAUCUGUAGCUGGUCUGAGAGGACGACCAGCCACACUGGGACUGAGACACGGCCCAGACUCCUACGGGAGGCAGCAGUGGGGAAUUUUGGACAAUGGGGCAACCCAGAUCCAGCAAUGCCGCGUGCAGGAAGAAGGCCUUCGGGUUGUAAACUGCUUUUGAUCGGAACGAAACGGUCUGGGUAAUACCCUGGGCUAAUGACGGUACCGUAAGAAUAAGCACCGGCUAAACUACGUGCCAGCAGCCGCGGUAAUACGUAGGGUGCGAGCGGUUAAUCGGAAUU